rnacentral:lncRNA from 1 species
CGGGAUCCGAAACCGUGCGAAGGUGGCAUGAGGGUGGCCGGGCCUGCGCGGCGUUCUCCGGAGCCUCUGGGAAAAGAGCCCGCUGCCCAUGUCCGGGGGCCUGGGCGCAGUGCCAGCCUCCUGCGGUUCCGGGAGCAGCGAGGUGGCCGGCGGCCGUGCCCCGUCCAUCGGAAAUGUCGGCCUUCUGCCUCCCCACCAGCCGAGCGGGCUUCUCCCUGCGAGCAGGUGUCGGGGACCCCGCCUCGGGUCUGUGCCCACAGCCUCUGCUGGACGCCAAAUGGGGACCCGAGACCCCAAGUUCCUUGCCUGACCUGGACGGGACUGUACAGGGCUACGCUUCGGAUCGAACAGGGGUCCUGUGAGAGGCGUGGUUUGCAACCGAACCAGACAGACAGACGGCGCACGGCAAGUGGGGGGACACGCCGGCAGCGGGACGAAGGCCGCCGGGUCGGCACGUGAGGAGGGGAGAGGGGACGUCUGAGUCGCCCUCGGACCUCGCGCCCAAGCAGAAUCCAAACACAACAUGGUGGGCACCCAUGAGCGUGUAUGUGUGCGCGUACAUGCACACGGACAGGCACACACACUCACACGCACAAGGACGGGAACACACAUGCACACGCGUACACGGACGGGCACACACACUCACACACAUGGAUGGGCACACACAGAUGGGCACAGACACGCACA